rnacentral:rRNA from 1 species
UACGUAGGGGGCAAGCGUUGUCCGGAAUCAUUGGGCGUAAAGAGCGUGUAGGCGGCUCGAUAAGUCUGCUGUGAAAGUCCAGGGCUCAACCCUGGGAUGCCGGUGGAUACUGUCGAGCUCGAGUCCGGAAGAGGCGAGUGGAAUUCCUGGUGUAGCGGUGAAAUGCGCAGAUAUCAGGAGGAACACCAAUGGCGAAGGCAGCUCGCUGGGACGUGACUGACGCUGAGACGCGAAAGCGUGGGGAGCAAACAGG